rnacentral:rRNA from 2 species
GUGUGACUGCGUACCUUUUGUAUAAUGGGUCAGCGACUUAUAUUCUGUAGCAAGGUUAACCGAAUAGGGGAGCCGGAGGGAAACCGAGUCUUAAUUGGGCGUUAAGUUGCAGGGUAUAGACCCGAAACCCGGUGAUCUAGCCAUGGGCAGGUUGAAGGUUGGGUAACACUAACUGGAGGACCGAACCGACUAAUGUUGAAAAAUUAGCGGAUGACCUGUGGCUGGGGGUGAAAGGCCAAUCAAACCGGGAGAUAGCUGGUUCUCCCCGAAAGCUAUUUAGGUAGCGCCUCGUGAAUUCAUCUCCGGGGGUAGAGCACUGUUUCGGCUAGGGGGCCAUCCCGGCUUACCAACCCGAUGCAAACUGCGAAUACCGGAGAAUGUUAUCACGGGAGACACACGGCGGGUGCUAACGUCCGUCGUGAAGAGGGAAACAACCCAGACCGCCAGCUAAGGUCCCAAAGUCAUGGUUAAGUGGGAAACGAUGUGGGAAGGCCCAGACAGCCAGGAUGUUGGCUUAGAAGCAGCCAUCAUUUAAAGAAAGCGUAAUAGCUCACUGGUCGAGUCGGCCUGCGCGGAAGAUGUAACGGGGCUAAACCAUGCACCGAAGCUGCGGCAGCGACACUCAGGUGUUGUUGGGUAGGGGAGCGUUCUGUAAGCCUGCGAAGGUGGCCUGUGAGGGUUGCUGGAGGUAUCAGAAGUGCGAAUGCUGACAUAAGUAACGAUAAAGCGGGUGAAAAGCCCGCUCGCCGGAAGACCAAGGGUUCCUGUCCAACGUUAAUCGGGGCAGGGUGAGUCGACCCCUAAGGCGAGGCCGAAAGGCGUAGUCGAUGGGAAACGGGUUAAUAUUCCCGUACUUGGUGUUACUGCGAAGGGGGGACGGAGAAGGCUAUGUUGGCCGGGCGACGGUUGUCCCGGUUUAAGCGUGUAGGUGUGUGUUCCAGGUAAAUCCGGUUCACUUUAACACUGAGGCGUGACGACGAGGCACUACGGUGCUGAAGCAACAAAUGCCCUGCUUCCAGGAAAAGCCUCUAAGCAUCAGGUAACAUCAAAUCGUACCCCAAACCGACACAGGUGGUCAGGUAGAGAAUACCAAGGCGCUUGAGAGAACUCGGGUGAAGGAACUAGGCAAAAUGGUGCCGUAACUUCGGGAGAAGGCACGCUGACAUGUAGGUGAAGUGAUUUACUCAUGGAGCUGAAGUCAGUCGAAGAUACCAGCUGGCUGCAACUGUUUAUUAAAAACACAGCACUGUGCAAACACGAAAGUGGACGUAUACGGUGUGACGCCUGCCCGGUGCCGGAAGGUUAAUUGAUGGGGUCAGCGCAAGCGAAGCUCCUGAUCGAAGCCCCGGUAAACGGCGGCCGUAACUAUAACGGUCCUAAGGUAGCGAAAUUCCUUGUCGGGUAAGUUCCGACCUGCACGAAUGGCGUAAUGAUGGCCAGGCUGUCUCCACCCGAGACUCAGUGAAAUUGAACUCGCUGUGAAGAUGCAGUGUACCCGCGGCAAGACGGAAAGACCCCGUGAACCUUUACUAUAGCUUGACACUGAACAUUGAGCCUUGAUGUGUAGGAUAGGUGGGAGGCUUUGAAGUGUGGACGCCAGUCUGCAUGGAGCCGACCUUGAAAUACCACCCUUUAAUGUUUGAUGUUCUAACGUGGACCCGUGAUCCGGGUUGCGGACAGUGUCUGGUGGGUAGUUUGACUGGGGCGGUCUCCUCCUAAAGAGUAACGGAGGAGCACGAAGGUUGGCUAAUCCUGGUCGGACAUCAGGAGGUUAGUGCAAUGGCAUAAGCCAGCUUGACUGCGAGCGUGACGGCGCGAGCAGGUGCGAAAGCAGGUCAUAGUGAUCCGGUGGUUCUGAAUGGAAGGGCCAUCGCUCAACGGAUAAAAGGUACUCCGGGGAUAACAGGCUGAUACCGCCCAAGAGUUCAUAUCGACGGCGGUGUUUGGCACCUCGAUGUCGGCUCAUCACAUCCUGGGGCUGAAGUAGGUCCCAAGGGUAUGGCUGUUCGCCAUUUAAAGUGGUACGCGAGCUGGGUUUAGAACGUCGUGAGACAGUUCGGUCCCUAUCUGCCGUGGGCGCUGGAGAACUGAGGGGGGCUGCUCCUAGUACGAGAGGACCGGAGUGGACGCAUCACUGGUGUUCGGGUUGUCAUGCCAAUGGCACUGCCCGGUAGCUAAAUGCGGAAGAGAUAAGUGCUGAAAGCAUCUAAGCACGAAACUUGCCCCGAGAUGAGUUCUCCCUGAGACUUUAGGUCUCCUGAAGGAACGUUGAAGACGACGACGUUGAUAGGCCGGGUGUGUAAGCGCAGCGAUGCGUUGAGCUAACCGGUACUAAUGAACCGUGAGGCUUAACCUUAC